rnacentral:rRNA from 1 species
GCUUACGGCCAUACCACCCUGAACACGCCCGAUCUCAGAUCAAGCUAAGCAGGGUCGGGCCUGGUUAGUACUUGGAUGGGAGACCGCCUGGGAAUACCAGGUGCUGUAAGCU